rnacentral:rRNA from 1 species
UGGCGGACGGGUGAGUAACGCGUGGGUAACCUGCCUUACACUGGGGGAUAACAGUUAGAAAUGACUGCUAAUACCGCAUAAGCGCACAGGGCCGCAUGGCCUGGUGUGAAAAACUCCGGUGGUGUAAGAUGGACCCGCGUCUGAUUAGGUAGUUGGUGGGGUAACGGCCCACCAAGCCGACGAUCAGUAGCCGACCUGAGAGGGUGACCGGCCACAUUGGGACUGAGACACGGCCCAA